AGGCGGGAAGCCCGGCGUGGGCUGCCGGCGUCGGCCUCUGACUGCAUGCCUGUCCUUACGUGUUUGCUCCACAUUUGGGGUGCUGAGCCGUUCCCUCAGUGGCACCUGGAUAUCACCUCCAACAUUUAUUCUGCACCAGGCGCUGUGUUGGAAGAACAGUGACAAAUGAGACAGCCUGUCUAUCAUAUCACUCUCAGACUAUAAAAGAGACCAGCAUGUUAGUGGUCCCCUGCAAACCUAUGUAACACAGUGGAGAUGAAUGAGAUGACGGUGUGCACAGAAGAGGAACUGAGUGAUUCUGACCGCUGAUGGACACCAGGAGAGGCUACACACAGCCUGGGAGUGUGUUCUCGAUUCUAGUUGACCCCCCUUCUGAUUUACUGUGUGGUCUUGGAAGAUGCCACCUUUCUGGGCUCCAGCUCCCUCAUCAGUAUAAUUAAGGGAAGAGACUCCAACCUCAGGGAACUACAUGCCCCUUCAUGAAUAUGCCAUGCCGUUUCUCUUGUCCUCAUCUUUGCACAUGCUGUUCCCUAUGACCGGAAUGCCUCUCUGGAGAAUGAAGACUUUCCUUUGAGGUGAAUUCCUGGAUGUGCCUAUUCAAACAGAAAAGCAGACUUGACAGUGACAGUGGUGUCCGUGCACAGCUGGCAGAAAGAAAUCCAAAAGCUAGUAAAUCAGACAUGGCUGCUGUUGAAGAGAGAAGCCAUUCCAUAAAUCGUGGGCAGUCUGAGAUCACAAAGAAAAGGACCUGCACAGUGACUUCCUCUUUACAACUUGCCACUCAGUCUCAACCUCCCACCCAAAAUGACUUGUUUCUCCAAACCAGUUGAAAUCUAAAGUGCAUUAGGCACUUAUAAUUAUGAGAACAUGUGAGUGAGUAAGAAGGAGGAGUGGGUACCCUGUAGAGAAAAACAUCCUUAUGUAAAAGUGCUUUGUGUUUGUGGGAGGAGUUCAGGGGUAAUUUCUGCCCAUAUACGGUUGGCCCUUGAGCAACGUGAGGAGAGUUCGUUAGGGGCACCCCCACCCCCACAUAGUCAAAAAUCUGCAUGUAACUUUUGACUCCCCUAAAACUUAACUACUAAUAGCCUAUUGUUGACUAUUGUUACAGCCUUACCAGUACGAUAAAGAGCCAAUUAACACAUAUUCGGUAUAUGUAUUUUAUACUACAUCCUUACAAUAAAGUAAC